GAGAGGUUCAUGCCCUCAGCCGUUCAGCUAUUUAAACGUCAUCCCAUCAGUUAAAUUAUUCUGAAUAUUCUGGUGCUAAACGGAAUGAGGGUAGUCAUCCCUCUCAU
rfam:Medicago truncatula strain A17 chromosome 2, whole genome shotgun sequence.